rnacentral:rRNA from 1 species
AAGAGACGCAUUUAUUAGAUAAAAAGCCAGUUCAUGCUUUUAUAGUAUGAAAAUUGGUGAUUUAUAAUAACUUAGCAAAUCGCAAAGUGAAAACAGGCGAUAAAUCAUUCAAGUUUCUGACCUAUCAGCUUUCGACGGUAUGGUAUUGGCUUACCGUGGCAGUGACGGUUAACGGGGGAUUAGGGUUCGAUUCCGGAGAGGGAGCCUGAGAAACGGCUACCACAUCUAAGGAAGGCAGCAGGCGCGCAAAUUACCCAAUUCUAACAGUUUGAGAGAGGUAGUAACAAGAAAUAACAAUACAAGGCAGUUAAAAUGCUUUGUAAUUGGAAUGAUAGAAAUUUAAACCCUUUUUAAAGUAUCAAUUGGAGGGCAAGUCUGGUGCCAGCAGCCGCGGUAAUUCCAGCUCCAAUAGCGUAUAUUAAAAUUGUUGCAGUUAAAAAGCUCGUAGUUGAAGUUCUGCUGAAAGUAACCGGUCUGCUUUUAAUAAAAGUGGUAUCUUGGUAUGUAUUUAGCAAUGAUGUCCUUUGAAGUGUUUUUUACUUUAUUGUAAUAAAGCAUAUUCAGGACUUUUACUUUGAGAAAAUUAGAGUGUUUCUAGCAGGCUAACGCUUUGAAUACUGCAGCAUGGAAUAAUAAGA